UGUUAAACAAUCCAUCCAUUUCUUCUAUUAAAAAUUAGCGUAAUAACCAGACAGUUACACAUGACAUGUCACGUGUACCUUAUGCUGACUUAUAGUGGCCAAUUUUCAAUAGUAGAAUUGGAUGAAAUUUAUAACA
rfam:Gossypium raimondii Chr13_contig_1168, whole genome shotgun sequence.